GACGAACCGUGCGACCGUUGUUCGGAAUCACUGGGCUUAAAGGGCGCGUAGGCGGGCCCUCAAGUCCGGGGUGAAAUCCUCCCGCUUAACGGGAGAAGAGCCUCGGAGACUGAGGGCCUCGAGGGAGGUAGGGGCGUGCGGAACUAUGGGUGGAGCGGUGAAAUGCAUUGAUAUCCAUAGGAACUCCGGUGGCGAAGGCGGCACGCUGGACCUCUUCUGACGCUGAGGCGCGAAAGCCAGGGGAGCAAACGGG
rnacentral:rRNA from 1 species